GUCAGUGGAGGCAUCUGGAAGAGGCGCCUCAUCGAAAAAAUGUCUUCGCCUCCCCAGUCUUCCUCGUCGAGGAACCAGCCGUUGUAGCGAUUGCUAUCCUCUUCGCCACCAUCUCUGCAAUCGAGAUGUACCCGCGGACCUGUAAUAAAAGAGAAGAAAAACACCUUAUAAUAAACCUUUGUUAAAAUUAGUGCACUAAAAUAAACGUAGAACACACUACACUCACUUCGAUCAUGAUUGGUGCUACCAUUGUACAGUGUCGUAAAGUAUGCUGAGUGCAACUGAUGAGCUGCGCCGAGUUGGAUGAAUCGCUCCAGCUUACCCCCACUUGCAUCUCCUAGGAACUAAGAUCUAAAUGCACACGGGAGUGGGGGCCCACUCGCUGGUCAGGGGUUCGUUGCACCAAGGACAAUAAAAAAAAAAUCUGGAUGAAAGCACCCAGGUCAGCGGUACGCGUCGAGAUUUAUGAUGAGAAAUUAAUUUUUCCCAUACACCCAGUUACAUGUUUUAAGAUAUGUUAUAACCCCAUUAUUUAAAAAAAAAAGACGGUAUGUAUAACAGUGAUAAAUUUAGGCCCGCUUUUAUUUUAUUUAUAAAAAUAAUAUAUCUGACACCCUUUACUCUUGUUUCUAGUCACCACCGUAGCAUCAUAGUCAUCGACAUCACCACCAUUGGCCAUAACAAACACCCAUAACGGAUUGGACAGAUUAUGGCGUCGAGAAGACCGGACACGCCACCCUUCGGAAUCGAGGGGUCCCUACUCUAUAUAUAUUAUUAUUCUACUUAUGUAAAUACUCUACCUAUGAUUGAAUUGAAUAUACACUAACCUGUGUA